UCAGGCCUAACACAUGCAAGUCGAGCGGUAGAGAAGGAGCUUGCUUCUUCUUGAGAGCGGCGGACGGGUGAGUAAUGCCUAGGAAUCUGCCUGGUAGUGGGGGACAACGUUUCGAAAGGAACGCUAAUACCGCAUACGUCCUACGGGAGAAAGUGGGGGAUCUUCGGACCUCACGCUAUCAGAUGAGCCUAGGUCGGAUUAGCUUGUAGGUGAGGUAAUGGCUCACCUAGGCAACGAUCCGUAACUGGUCUGAGAGGAUGAUCAGUCACACUGGAACUGAGACACGGUCCAGACUCCUACGGGAGGCAGCAGUGGGGAAUAUUGGACAAUGGGCGAAAGCCUGAUCCAGCCAUGCCGCGUGUGUGAAGAAGGUCUUCGGAUUGUGAAGCACUUUAAGUUGGGAGGAAGGGUUGUAGCUUAAUACGCUGCAACC
rnacentral:rRNA from 1 species